rnacentral:lncRNA from 1 species
AUUAGGGGUUUGUUUUAUGCUUGCUGCAGCCCAGUUUCUCUGAGCAUCUUGAAUUCAUUGCAGGAAAAUUCCACACUGUUCUCCAGGAUAAAGAAUGGCCAGCACCUGAAUUUCUGAAUGAUGUGAGAAGCAGGACCUGAUCCUACCUCUUCCUGCCACAAUGGGAAGCUCAUUUCUGAAGGAUCUGGAAGAAAUUACAGGAGUGACAGUUGUGAGAGGGACGUACUCCAGAUUGGCGGGGCUGGUUUGUGCUUUGUUACCACAUUGCCUCCUCCUAGCAGAAUGGAUGUGCUGGUGGCAUUCCCGGAUUUCUCGAGCUCUCAUGCUAACUCUGAGUCAGCUUUGACCUGGCUGGGUGCCCACCUGCAUAAUUCCAGAUGUGACCAUGGAGAGUGCACAGGGCAAACAACCCUAGGGAAGAAGGUCUUGCUGGCUUGAUGUCUAAAAACAAAAUAAAAAUCAAGUAAAAUUCCUCGAGUCUAAGUCU